rnacentral:rRNA from 1 species
CCUACGGGGUGCAGCAGUGAGGAAUAUUGGUCAAUGGACGCGAGUCUGAACCAGCCAAGCCGCGUGAAGGAUGACUGCCCUAUGGGUUGUAAACUUCUUUUAUACAAGGAUAAACGCAGGGCCGCGUCUCUGUCUGUAUGUAUCGUACGAAUAAGGAUCGGCUAACUCCGUGCCAGCAGCCGCGGUAAUACGGAGGAUUCGAGCGUUAUCCGGAGUUAUUGGGUUUAAAGGGUGCGUAGGCGGUCGGUUAAGUGAGCGGUGAAAGUCUGUGGCUCAACUGUGGAAUUGCCGCUGAUACUGGGCGGCUUGAGUGUAUUUGAGGCAGGCGGAAUGCAUGGUGUAGCGGUGAAAUGCUUAGAGAUCACGCAGAACACCGAUUGCGAAGGCAGCUUGCCAAGCCAUGUCUGACGCUGAGGCACGAAAGCGUGGGGAGCAAACAGGAUUAGAUACCCGAGUAGUC